CAGCCGUAAACUAUGCGCGUUAGGUGUACUGGUGACCACGCGUUACUGAUGCGCCGAAGAGAAAUCGUGAAACGCACCACCUGGGAAGUACGGUCGCAAGGCUGAAACUUAAAGGAAUUGGCGGGGGAGCACCACAGCAGGUGGAGCCUGCGGUUUAAUUGGAUUCAACGCCGGACAUCUCACCGGAUAAGACAGCUGAAUGAUUGUCAAUCUGAAGGUUUUACAUGACUAGCUGAGAGGAGGUGCAUGGCGUCAGUGACU
rnacentral:rRNA from 1 species